UCUUUACUAAACAAUCUCUAUUUAUUUAUUUAUUUAUUUUUUUAUGAGAUAGAUAGCACGCUGUCCGUUUCGUUUAUUUCAUUUAAAAAUAAAUUUAACUAGAAAUAUGAAUCAAUUAGAAUUCGAACUUAGAUUUUGAAUGCUAACAAUUAAGUCCUUUGCCACUUGUUCUAGAAACGGUCCGUGUCUUUACUAAACAAUCCAAGGACCAGUU
rnacentral:lncRNA from 1 species